rnacentral:rRNA from 1 species
GACGAACGCUGGCGGCGUGCUUAACACAUGCAAGUCGAACGGAAAGGCCCUGCUUUUGUGGGGUGCUCGAGUGGCGAACGGGUGAGUAACACGUGAGUAACCUGCCCUUGACUUUGGGAUAACUUCAGGAAACUGGGGCUAAUACCGGAUAGGGGCCCCUGCCGCAUGGGGGGGGUUGGAAAGUUUCGGCGGUGGGGGGUGGACUCGCGGCUUAUCAGCUUGUUGGUGGGGUAGUGGCUUACCAAGGCUUUGGCGGGUAGCCGGCCUGAGAGGGUGACCGGCCACAUUGGGACUGAGUUACGGCCCAGACUCCUACGGGAGGCAGCAGUGGGAAAUAUUCCACAAUGGGCGGAGGCCGGAUGCAGCAACGCCGCGUGCGGGAUGACGGCCUUCGGGUGUUAAACCGCUUUCCCCUGGGACGAAGCGUGUGUGACGGUAAUGGGUAAAGAAGCACCGGCUAACUACGUG